AAACCAUUAAUUCGCACUAAUGUAAAAGGUUUUUGUUUAUCCUUGACGGGGGUGAAGAUGUGGAAUGAGCCUCCUAUUGAGAUCAAAACGUGUGGUACUCUGGCAUGUUUUAAGCGACUCUGCAAGAAAGUAAUUGUUUCAAAAUAUUGUAGUGAGAUCGUUGUGAAGUGACUGUGUCUAGUAUGUAGUGUUUGCUUGUGUGUAGGUAUGUAUGCUUAGGUAUAUGUGGGUGUGUCCUGUAACAUGACUGGGAGGUGUAUGUGAUGGUAUAUGUAUCAUGUGUGUGUGUCUUU